rnacentral:rRNA from 1 species
ACGAACGCUGGCGGCGUGCUUAACACAUGCAAGUCGAACGGAAAGGCCCUGCUUUUGUGGGGUGCUCGAGUGGCGAACGGGUGAGUAACACGUGAGUAACCUGCCCUUGACCUUGGGAUAACUUCAGGAAACUGGGGCUAAUACCGGAUAGGAGCUCCUGCUGCAUGGUGGGGGUUGGAAAGUUUCGGCGGUUGGGGAUGGACUCGCGGCUUAUCAGCUUGUUGGUGGGGUAGUGGCUUACCAAGGCUUUGACGGGUAGCCGGCCUGAGAGGGUGACCGGCCACAUUGGGACUGAGAUACGGCCCAGACUCCUACGGGAGGCAGCAGUGGGGAAUAUUGCACAAUGGGCGGAAGCCUGAUGCAGCAACGCCGCGUGCGGGAUGACGGCCUUCGGGUUGUAAACCGCUUUCGCCUGUGACGAAGCGUGAGUGACGGUAAUGGGUAAAGAAGCACCGGCUAACUACGU